rnacentral:rRNA from 1 species
AUUGAACGCUGGCGGCAGGCUUAACACAUGCAAGUCGAGCGGAGAUGAGGUGCUUGCACCUUAUCUUAGCGGCGGACGGGUGAGUAAUGCUUAGGAAUCUGCCUAUUAGUGGGGGGACAACAUUCCGAAAGGAAUGCUAAUACCGCAUACGUCCUACGGGAGAAAAGCAGGGGAUCUUCGGACCUUGCGCUAAUAGAUGAGCCUAAGUCGGAUUAGCUGGUUGGUGGGGUAAAGGCCUACCAAGGCGACGAUCUGUAGCGGGUCUGAGAGGAUGAUCCGCCACACUGGGACUGAGAAACGGCCCAGACUCCUACGGGAGGCAGCAGUGGGGAAUAUUGGACAAUGGGGGAACCCUGAUCCAGCCAUGCCGCGUGUGUGAAGAAGGCCUUAUGGUUGUAAAGCACUUUAAGCGAGGAGGAGGCUACUGAGACUAAUACUCUUGGAUAGUGGACGUUACUCGCAGAAUAAGCACCGGCUAACUCUGUG